rnacentral:rRNA from 1 species
UGGCAUCAGCAAAUGAUCAAAUAUUUAUAGGAUUAAGAUGGGCAUGCGUGACAUUAGCUAGUCGGUAAGGUAACGGCUUACCAAGGCUACGAUGUCUAGGGGAUCUGAGAGGAUGACCCCCCACACUGGUACUGAGACACGGACCAGACUCCUACGGGAGGCAGCAGUAAGGAAUAUUGGUCAAUGGGGGCAACCCUGAACCAGCCAUGCCGCGUGCAGGAAGACGGCCCUACGGGUUGUAAACUGCUUUUAUACGGGAAUAAACCUCUUUACGUGUAGAGAGUUGAAUGUACUGUAAGAAUAAGGAUCGGCUAACUCCGUGCCAGCAGCCGCGGUAAUACGGAGGAUCCAAGCGUUAUCCGGAUUUAUUGGGUUUAAAGGGUGCGUAGGCGGCCUAUUAAGUCAGGGGUGAAAGACGGUGGCUCAACCAUCGCAGUGCCCUUGAUACUGAUGGGCUUGAUUACACUAGAGGUAGGCGGAAUGUGACAAGUAGCGGUGAAAUGCAUAGAUAUGUCACAGAACACCAAUUGCGAAGGCAGCUUACUAUGGUGUCAAUGACGCUGAGGCACGAAAGCGUGGGGAUCAAACAGGCUUAGAUACCCUGGUAGUCCACGCCCUAAACGAUAAAGGCUCGAUGUUAGCGAUAUACAAUUAAGCGUCAAAAGCGAAAGCGUUAAGUAUUUCCCCUGGGGAGUACGCCCGCAAGGGUGAAACUCAAAGGAAUAGAAGGGGGGCCCGCACAAGCGGAGGAGCAUGUGGUUUAAUUCGAUGAUACGCGAGGAGCCUUACCCGGGCUUGAAAGUUACUGAAGUAUCCAGAGAUGGAUGCGUCCGCAAGGACAGGAAACUAGGUGCUGCAUGGCUGUCAUCAGCUCGUGCCGUGAGGUGUUGGGUUAAGUCCCGCAACGAGCGCAACCCCUAUGUUUAGUUGCCAGCAUGUAAUGGUGGGGACUCUAAACAGACUGCCUGUGCAAACAGAGAGGAAGGAGGGGAGGACGCCAAGUCAUCAUGGCCCUUACGUCCGGGGCUACACACGUGCUACAAUGGGCAGUACAGAGGGCAGCUACCUGGUAACAGGAUGCCAAUCUCAAAAAGCUGUUCACAGAUAAGAUAGAGGUCUGCAACUCGACCUCUUGAAGUUGGAUUCGCUAGUAAUCGCAUAUCAGCAAUGAUGCGGUGAAAAAGUUCCCGGGCCUUGCACUCUCCGCCCGUCA